CGGGGUAUAUCGCGUUGGCUAACGGAUCAUAGUGUAGCGUCAUGAUAUCGCGUGCCGCUACAAGCGGUAAGGUCGCAGGUUCGAAUCCUGCCGCCCCGA
rnacentral:tRNA from 1 species